AACGAACGCUGGCGGCAUGCCUAACACAUGCAAGUCGAACGAGGCCGUCGGGUCUAGUGGCGCACGGGUGCGUCACGCGUGGGAACCUGCCCUCAGGUUCGGAAUAACUCCCCGAAAGGGGUGCUAAUACCGGAUAAUGUCGCCGGACCAAAGAUUUGUUGCCGUUGGAUGGGCCGGCGUUGGUUUAGCUUGUUGGUAGGGUAAAAGCCUGCCAUGGCGGCGGUCCAUAGCUGGUCUGAGAGGAUGCUCAGCCACACUGGGGCUGUGACACGGCCCAGACUCCUGCGGGAGGCGGCAGUGGGUUGUGGUGGAAAUGGCGCUGGAGCCUGAUCGAGCGGUGCCGCUUGAGUGAUGUAGGCCGUAGAGUUGUAGGGCUCGUUUACCCGUGAUGAUCAUGGCUGUACCGGGAGAAUCAGCUCCGGCUAACUCCGUG
rnacentral:rRNA from 1 species